GUUUUUAUAGUGUAAAAAACAUAUUACACUUUCAUUGUAAAGCUGAAAAUUUUUUCUAAAAACU
rnacentral:tRNA from 1 species